UUAGCUGGGGCUCCCCAUUCCCGCCCCCACGCCAGGCGGGUCGCGGCGUGGUUACACUGCGGGCUCUAGGGGCCAGUCCUGCCCGGAUGGGGCUCGCCUGAUCCCUGGAGCUAGGUUUCGGUUUCAUGCACUCUCAUUUCCGUAGCUGCUGUGCAUUCAUGCUACUGCGCCCUGGUAGCCACUGGCAGUUUAUCCUAGAGCGAGAGGCCGGCGAGGAGAAGCGGGACAGAGAGGUUACAUCCUGGGUGUUCUGCAGAGCCUUUUGGCACCUCGGCUAGCCCAUCCUUUGCCGUGGAGGCUGGGCCCUGCGGUUCACGCCCCUAGGCCACUCAGACGAAGGACUCACCUGCCAGAAAAGCCAGCUGCAGCGCCGGAACUUCGGCUUCAUCUGCCUCUGGAGUACCGGGGUCCUUAGGGACCAUGGAGGCCAACUUCCACCCCUUACCGAGGGGCCUGCUGCUGCCCAGAGUAGAGAAGGCGCCUCCCCAAGGAGUGUUCUCUGCUGCUCUACUGGGUCCUGUCUGCCUUGAAAAUAUCCAGCUGCUGAACUGGUAACAGAGAAAAUCGCCUUGGAAGAUUCAUCAUCAGAAUUUGAGAUGAUCCAUUUCAACCUGUGGCCUAGUGUCUAGAUGGGAAUGGUGAGGCCUGAGGGGUGGGGAAGGGACUAAGGCACCAGGCCCUGCAGUUGUCUCUGCCCACUAGCAGCACAAGCAACUGAAGAAAGAACAGCUGGGAGGAAUCUAGAGAGCUGGACCACCAAUAUCUUGGGCACUAAAGUUUGUUGGGUUCUCAAUUUUCUCAAUAGGAAAUGGGACUAAGAGUUUUAGUCCUUCUUCUUUGUGUAGAAUUUGGUAUGCUCCUAUAACUUCCUCCAACACAAGUCCUUUGAAAUGCCUAGAGUGUCCAUGUGCUUUCUUGGGUCAAUCAGAGAGUUUGUGUCUCAGAUACCACGGGGGAGGCCACUCUGGUUGGGCCCCAUAUGACAGGUGUA